rnacentral:rRNA from 1 species
UACGUAGGGGGCAAGCGUUAUCCGGAUUUACUGGGUGUAAAGGGAGCGUAGGCGGUAAUGCAAGUCAGAAGUGAAAGCCCGGGGCUCAACUCCGGGACUGCUUUUGAAACUGUGUUGCUAGAUUGCAGGAGAGGUAAGUGGAAUUCCUAGUGUAGCGGUGAAAUGCGUAGAUAUUAGGAGGAACACCAGUGGCGAAGGCGGCUUACUGGACUGUAAAUGACGCUGAGGCUCGAAAGCGUGGGGAGCAAACGGG